rnacentral:rRNA from 1 species
UAUUAUAAAUUAAUUUUUUCUGAAUAAAUAAAUUUUAUUAUAUUUAAAAUAAAAAUGAAAUUUCUAUUAUAAAUAAUAAAAUAAUUAAUUCUAAAUAUUAGUAAUAAACCAGGAUUAGAUACCCUGCUAUUCUAAUUAUAUAUAAUAUUUCAAAGAAAAACAACUAAAUAAAUUUGACGGUAUUAACCUUUACAAAGGAAUUUGUUUCUUAAUCGAAAAUACACGACUAACCUUACUUAAUUUUUUUUUGUAUACCACCGUAAAGAAAUUAUUCUAAAUCAAUAUCAUAAUAAAUUAUUUUACAAUAUCAGGUCAAGGUGCAAUUUAAUUAAGAUGAAAUGAAUUAUAUUUUAACAUAAACAUAUAAGAAAUGAAACUUUCUUAAAAAUAGAAUUUGUCAGUAAAAUUAAAUAAGAAUGUUUUUUUGAAAAAAUACAUUAAUAUG